rnacentral:rRNA from 1 species
AUUGAACGCUGGCGGCAGGCCUAACACAUGCAAGUCGAACGGUAACAGGAAGCAGCUUGCUGCUUCGCUGACGAGUGGCGGACGGGUGAGUAAUGUCUGGGAAGCUGCCUGAUGGAGGGGGAUAACUACUGGAAACGGUAGCUAAUACCGCAUAAUGUCGCAAGACCAAAGAGGGGGACCUUCGGGCCUCUUGCCAUCGGAUGUGCCCAGAUGGGAUUAGCUUGUUGGUGGGGUAACGGCUCACCAAGGCGACGAUCCCUAGCUGGUCUGAGAGGAUGACCAGCCACACUGGAACUGAGACACGGUCCAGACUCCUACGGGAGGCAGCAGUGGGGAAUAUUGCAGAAUGGGCGCAAGCCUGAUGCAGCCAUGCCGCGUGUAUGAAGAAGGCCUUCGGGUUGUAAAGUACUUUCAGCGGGGAGGAAGGGAGUAAAGUUAAUACCUUUGCUCAUUGACGUUACCCGCAGAAGAAGCACCGGCUAACUCCGUG